AUUUCUUUGGGCCGCUCCCGCUGCAUAUGGAGGUUCCCAGGCUAGGGGUCGAAUCGGAGCCACAGCCACUGGCCUACGCCAGAGCCACAGCAACGUGGGAUCCAAGCCGCGUCUGCAACCUACACCACAGCUCACGGCAACGCCAGAUCGUUAACCCACUGAGCAAGGGCAGGGACCGAACCCGCAACCUCAUGGUUCCUAGUCGGAUUCGUUAACCACUGCGCCACGACGGGAACUCCGGAAAAAAAAGUUUUUUUAAAGAUAAAAUUUCCUCAUCUGCAAAAUACGAGAGAUAUUAUGUAUUUCAUAAGAUUAAAUGGAAAAACGUCCAGAGAAAGCACUUAGCAUAGUUCCCAGUGCACACUAAGUAUGCAAUAAACUGCAUCUGUUGCUCUAAAAAAAGAAAAUGCAAACAUUCGAAAUUAAUAAUGACAAAAUUAAACCACUUUUUAAAAGAUGUAAAAAGGUUAAUGCUUUUUCUAUGGGGAAUUUAAACAUUGUAUCUACUCAUCAGGGGUCCAAAACCAUUGCUAUUAAUUACAAUUAUGUUGAUUAAUUAUUAUUAUUUUUUCUACUGUACAGCAUGGUGACCCAGUUACACAUACAUGUAUACAUUCUUUUUUCUCACAUUAUCCUGCUCCAUCAUAAGUGACCAGACACAGUUCCCAGUGCUACACAGCAGGAUCUCAUUGCUAAUCCAUUCUAAAGGCAAUAGUCUCCAUCUAUUAUCCCCAAGCUCCCAAUCCAUCCUACUCCCUCCCCUUCCCCCUUGGCAACCACAAGUCUAUUUGCCUUAAUUUAUAGAAAUUAACCUGUCUACAGAGCAUCACUAAUAGCAAACUAGUUGAGAUCUCAGCAGAUACACAAAACAAAGAAGGACAUCUAUCAAUGCAGAGGACAGCUGACUCAAGAUGUGUUCCUUCAGCUUCUUUGGGAAGGAUAUUUACACACGCUUUCCUAUGGGUAUUAUUUUUAUAUAUGCAAAUGAGAGCCUUUCAAUUUAAUUAUAUUUUUCCUCCACACAGUCUACAUGGAAUCACACCGUCUGCAGCUACUUCAUUUUAAAUUGCUCUCUUACAGCUGUUAGAAAGAAAAAGGAUAGGAAGGAAAUAAUGUCCUUGAAAACAGAGAGGGAUCCAGAGUUUCCUGUCAGCUUUAUUUAGAUCACUAAGCUGAUUCUCUGUUUAAUUCAUGUGUCAAGAAAAUAAAAACAGCCAGAACUUGGAAUUACUCUUGGCCAUCAUUCAAAUGGCCCAUGUUGGAGCAUCGCUGUAUCAUCAGAAAUUUACAUGUCAACGUGAUAACUGGAUGCAUUUGCACCUGGGUUCACUGCUAAAUGCACGCCCUUGAGAAACUUACUUACUAACCUUAUUGAGUUUCAGUUUUUUCAUCUAUAAAAACAAGGAUAAGAAACCUAGUUCACCCUACUGCACAGCACAGGGAACUACAUCCAAUCUCUUGGGACAGAACAUGAUGGAAGAUAACAAGAGAAAAAGAAUGUAUACAUAUGUAAGACUAGGUCCAUCUGCUGUACAGCAGAAAUGGACACAACACUGUAAAUCAACUAUACUUUAAUGAAAAAAUUUUAAAAAGAUACCUAAUUAAUUAAAUUGUUGUGCAGACUAAAUUAGCAUAGUCAGGCCCUGGCCCAGUUACUGGCACACAGUGGUGUCUGCAUAUAGGUAGGAUAUAUGUAUAUAUAUUUUUACAGCCGCACCUGUGGCAUAUGGGCAAGGGGUUGAAUCCUAGCUGCAGCUGAAGCCUAGGCCACAGCCAUGGAAACACUAGAUCUGAGACACAUCUGUGAACUACACCGUAGCUUGUGGCAACAACAGAUCCUUAACCUACUGAGCAAGGCCAGGGAUCAAACGUGUAUCCUCACAGAGACAAUAUUGGGUCCUUAACCUACAGAUCCACAAUGGGAACUCCUAGAAAGGAAUAUUUUAUUUUAUUUUAUUUUUAACCUUUUUCUUUUAGGGCCAUACCCAUGGCACAUGGAAGUUCCCAGGCUAGGGGUCAAAUCGGAGUUGUAGCUGCCGGCCUUCGCCACAGGCGCAGCAACACCACACCCGAGCCAUGUCUUCGACCUAUACCACAGCUCAAGGCAACACCAGAUCCUUAACCCACCAAGCGGCGAAGCCAGGGAUCAAACCUGUAUCCUCAUAAUUACUAGUCAGAUUCGUUUCUGCUGAGCCAUGACGGGAAUUUCCAGGAAGGAAUAUUUUAAAUGCACUGAUAACUGUGGUUAUUGAGCAAUGAUUAUACACCCUUUCCUAAAAUUCCAGUGAAAUGACUCCAUAUCAACCUGGAAAGCAAGGAAAGAUGGUAUUACCAGGCCAAAAACUUUGAGGAAUUUAUGGAAAAUGUUAAGGAGAGAGAUUGUAUAGAGAAUCACUAGAGCUAGGGAAAGGAGUGGUCCCUCUGGGUCUGGAGGAUGGCUGUCAAACACAGAGCCCAGGAAAAGAUCCACACUCAGGGCCAGCAAGGAUGGGAAUCCAUGGGCAACCAAUUGGAGGAGUAAUUAUUCAAAGGACUGACACUAUGGGCUAUUCAACUUCUCUGUCACAAGGAACAAUGAGAAACCACAACUGCCUUGGGUCUAAAAUCAGCAAAAACCCUCACAGGUUCCUAAGAUGGGACUUGAGCAAACAAAACAAAAAAACAAAACCCAAGUAGAGCAGUGCUCACAAAGUUUGGGACCCCAUAAGAGACAUGCAGACCCCAGUUCAACCAGCCAACUAACCGUCCUUCUUGCCUUCCCUCCAUCUAUCUUCCAUCUAUCUAUCCGUCCAUUAGAAGGAGAUGGGAAGAGAAAUGUCCACAUCCAGUGCAAUGCACUGAGAACUCUCAGGAGCUCUACCCCCAGCACAAAGUGUUGCUGGCCUCAGCAAACAGUCAAAGGAGAGCUGAAACUCAGCAGUCUGAUCAUCGUCCAAAGGGGAAAGCUGCCUGUCUGUCAAUCCCCAUGUCUAUCUACAGAACCCUACAGUCAGCCUCCUAGUCAAGAAAGCAGCUUAUUUAGCUGCCAGGUAAAUUCAUACCACCUUCUUAUGUUAUUCUAGUCUUUCAAUUAAAAUUAAGAAUCAAUAACCAAACCCAUGAACUUCCUCCAUAAGGAAAAACAUGAACAUGAGAGCAUCAAGACUAAAAACCAGAAUAAUGAUCCCUGAAGAAACAAAGUUAAUGAAAAGAGUAGAAGAUAGGUUUUUUUUUUUUUUUUAAAUUCCAAUUGAUGUCUUCAGGGAGAUUUAUGAUGACAUAGCAACAUCAAUAGUUGCUAUUUUAAAAGCAGUCAGAAAAUAAGAAAGCAACAAAUCAACAUUACUUAAAAAUAUAGAUAUAAAAUCACAAAUAGGGGGUUCUCUUAUGGCACAGCAGGGUUAAGGAUCUGGGAUUGUCAUUGCAGUGGCUCUGGUCACUGCUGUGGCUUGGGUUUGAUCCCUGGCCUGGGAACUUCCACAUGCCACAGGCACAGCCAAAAAAAAAAAAAAAAAA
rnacentral:lncRNA from 1 species